UACGUAGGGUGCGAGCGUUAAUCGGAAUUACUGGGCGUAAAGCGUGCGCAAGCGGUUGGUUAAGUCUGAUGUGAAAGCCCCGGGCUCAACCUGGGAAUGGCAUUGGAAACUGUCCAGCUGGAGUGUGGCAGAGGGGGGUGGAAUUCCGCGUGUAGCAGUGAAAUGCGUAGAGAUGCGGAGGAACACCGAUGGCGAAGGCAGCCCCCUGGGCCAACACUGACGCUCAGGCACGAAAGCGUGGGGAGCAAACAGG
rnacentral:rRNA from 1 species